rnacentral:rRNA from 1 species
AUGGAGCUUGAGCUUAGUCUAGGCGAUCUUCCAGCUCCAGUGAAGGCCAACAACACCAUGCCCGCGCCGGCAACAUGCCAAGGAGAAGACCACGACGACCUUGCGCUAGGGCUACGAGUAAUGGCUACCGAAAGAGCUGACCAAGAUAACCAGAGGACAAGCAUAGAAACUGCGGAGGGAGAAGAUAGUGACGAAGCAUGCCGGGAACUGCCUGUCAGAGCAAGCCCUCUUCGCCAAGCCUCUGCACAAACAGCGGGUGCGAAUUCACGGGGGUUUGAUGUGAACGCUCCUGUUCCGGUGGAUGACAGAGCGUUGAUAGCGAGGUCCUUGUCACCGCCGUCCAUGCAUAUGGAGGUUCCUGUGGCACAGGGAGUUGACGAGGAAGCUUCAGAGGAAGAAGACAAUAGAGGUGGAAGGGUGAGGAAGAAACUGAGGCUGUCCAAGGAACAAUCUGCGUUUCUAGAGGGUAGCUUCAAAGAGCACAGCACGCUAACCCUGGAGCAAAAGAGCCGUUUAGCCAACCAGCUGAGCCUUCGACCACGCCAGGUUGAGGUCUGGUUCCAAAACAGAAGAGCCAGGACGAAGCUGAAGCAGACGGAGGCGGACUGCGAGCAACUGAAGCGCUGCUGCGACGCGCUGGCACGGGAGAACCGUAAGCUCCAGCGGGAGGUGGCGGAGCUGCGCGCCUCCCGUGCCCCGUACCCGCUCUACAAUCUGAAUCACCACCUGUCUGGGUUCAGCACGGCGCUCCCAGCGUGCUCAUCAUGUGACGCCACCACCCGUUCCACCGUCUCUUCCGUGUCGUCAUCUCCGGGACCGUCGCCGAUGUCCACCUUGUUUCCCGGCAGGCCUCACUUUGGCCCCUUCACCGUCACCCACCCGGUGCUCCGCCUCCGCCGCCAGCCCUCGGCGACAUUGUGA